UAGGGAAUAUUAGAAAUGGACGAAAGUCUGAUCUAGCAACACCGCGUGUGCGAAGGAGGCCUUCGGGUUGUAAAGCACUUUUUGGAAGGAUUAGGAAGGAAUGUACUUCCAGAAUAAGUCUCGGCUAACUACGUGCCAGCAGCCGCGGUAACACGUAGGAGGCAAACGUUAUCCGGAUUUACUGGGCGUAAAGCGCGUGUAGGUGGUUCUGUAAGUAGGGCGUGAAAGCUCCUGGCUCAACUGGGAGAGGCCGUUCGAAACUGCAGAGCUAGAGGAUGGUAGAGGGAGGUGGAAUUCCGGGUGUAGCGGUGGAAUGCGCAGAUAUCCGGAGGAACACCAGUGGCGAAAGCGGCCUCCUGGACCAUUCCUGACACUCAGACGCGAAAGCUAGGGUAGCAAACG
rnacentral:rRNA from 1 species